GCCCUGGGUAGCACGUUUCCUUCACAGGCCGGAAGUCCAGCUGCUCGUGCCCUGGGAAGAGCAGCCUGGGAAGAGAGAAACCCUUCCCCUGCCUUCAUGUGUCCUAGGCUACUUAAGUUAUUCACAACAGCGAGAAAGUUCGAGGCCUGUCAGGAACCGAGAAAAACUGAUGUCUUGGCCUGCAGUGACUCCAAAUCCCAUAAUAUUUCCAAUUUUCCCCUCUACUAAAAAGUUUCUAAUGCCUGGGUGAAGAUAGGAAAACUGUCAGAUAGGCUGAGCACUGUCAUACUGUAAGUAUCUUUUUGAAAAAGAAGUUUAAGAAUAUUUCAUGUCCAUUUGUUUCAGGGAAAAUAUGUUUAAGAUAUAUGCAAAAUAUAGAGGUGGAUAUUAUAAUCAUCUUAAUAAUUUAUAAGAACUAGUCCUGUGUUGCUUUUAAAAAUUGAAAAUGUGUUCUCAUGUAUUAAAAUGAGGAUAUUUUUUCAAAUAGCAUUGAAAAAUAUUUCUAAUUCUAACAAGGAUUGAUCUUUUCUGUGUACAUUUGCUUAUUUAAAACUAUCAGAAUCCAGAAAGUCAUUGUAGUUUUAUAGGUUGUGAUUUGUUUGGGUGGCUUAUUGUUUAGGUUAUUUUGCAGAAUUAUUUAUUUGCUGAUUUAUUUAUGUAUUUCAUUAUUUAUUUAUUUGAUUAUUUAGUAAAUUAUUUAUCUGAUGAAUUAUUAAUACAUCUUCAUGACAUGUUUUAAAUUAUUUAUAACUUAAUUUUGAGUUUAUUGCUUUUAGACGCUGCAUUGUUACUGACUAGUUUUGAUUUUUUUUCUUUGUGGUUCUUGAAAAUUAAAGUAUUAGGUCUAAGGUAGCGAGUAUAUUCAUCCCAGUGCCAUGGAUUUUUUAUUUUUACCUUGUUGGUAGUUUAUGCCAGUGAUGAGAUUUUCGCUAUGCUUUGUUGUUUAAAUUUACCCUUUGAGGGUUACUUGUGUGUGAUAAAGUGUCAGGGUAUUGUGUAUGUGGUCAUUGUGAGUCAUUUGUUGAUUAGUGAUAGUGUUUCUUAUGUAAACAAAAAUGGAACUUGUAAACCUAACUCCACAUUAUUUUCUGUCUCUCUAAAGGCAGGUCUGCAUUUCUUGUUUUAAAAUAAGUGAUAGAGAUAUUUGAUUUUAGUGGCGAGUCAAUUUUACCACUGGAAUGCUUUUAGGACAGUUUAUAGAAUUGAAUAUCAUUUUAGAUUUGGGUCCCUUCUUUGUUUAAAGUCAACUAUAUGGGCAUUUGGAAAACAGCAAGAUCUUAUGUAAAUUUUUAUGUCACUCAUGAUAAUUAUUUCCCAAAUCUUACAAAUAAUAUUUUAAUAAGUUAGAUUGGUUUCUAUUGUUAAAAUGAAUACCAUUUCUUCUUCUGAUUCUGUGUCAUAAUGGUAAUAAUCAGAGCUUUCCUUUAGUAGUUUCUGGACAGGUAAAUAGCAUUUAAGCGAAGGCAUGCCAUGUUUGCAACAUGACUUUCAUUUCCUGUUUCUUAGAGUGAAUAUGCUUUACAGUUUUUACACUUGGGAGAGAAGAUGCACUGUAUAUCUCAAGUAUAGAAUGCUAUCACUUUCUAGAUAGGUUUUUAUUACAGAAUUGUAAAUUAUGCACAUGUAUCCAAAUUUCUUACCUUGAAAUAUUGCAUAUAUUAAUAUUUAAUUAAAAUAUUGCAGUAUUAUCUUCUCAUGCAGAUCUUGAAAAAUGUUCUUCAGUGAUUUAUGUAACAUGGAUUUAGAAGUGUGUAUAUCAUAUAUAUCUGUGGCUUUUCUACUCUGGAGAAAAGAACUUAAUACACCAUUAGAUAUGGAAAUCCACUUUGAAAUGUUUUUUAAUAUACUUGUGUGGUCUUUUGAAGAAAAAUGUUGCUUUCUCCAUUUGCUGAAUAAAGUACGUAUUAGCAGUCAUGGUAAUCUACUGAGGGUAUGCUAUUAUUAACACCCACUGAAAGAAUACUUACAGCAUUGUACAAGUGAUCAUUCCUGUGAUGAUACACACCUGGGAAUUUCUUCUGACAGUAAGAUAGUUUUAAUAACUUGUGUUUGAGCCAGCUGGUGGCGCACGCCUUUAAUUCAAGCACCCAGGAGGCAGAGGCAGGUGCAUCACUGUGUGUUUGAGGCCAGCAUAUUCUAUAGAGCAAGUUCAAGGACAGCCGGAGCUGUUACACACAGAAACCUUGUCUUGAAAAAAACCAACAAAGAACUUGUGUUUGAAAAGAGAUAUUAAUAAGUAUUACUUACUUCUUACCAUAUGCUGCGCAAUGUUCACAUAUUUUACUUGGAUUUCUUGACUUGCGCAAUGAGGUAACACUGUGAUUGUGUAAGUUUUCAUUUUGAGGAUGAGGAAAUAGAGAGUUGGUGAUGUUAAGUAGCUUGCUUUUACAGCUAAAAGUAAGUGGAGGGCACUGGCACAAGGAAUAAUUUAGUCAAUCAAAGGGCCUUUCUAAACCUGUUGGUUUUAUAAAUGUAGAUAGUAUAUAGUAUUUAACCAGAGAUUGCUCUGCAUUUUAGAGGAUUUAUUUGGUCACCUGUCUCUUACAGGUUUAGCUUGUUCAGUAUAUUCAGUUUGUGUUUUUACUUAAUUAUCUUUCUUGAAUGAUAGACAAAUAAUUGAACUACUUGGAUUUUCUGAUUUGAUUCUUAUAAUUUGUAGAGUUAAAUAAAACUGCAUACUUGUACCUCUGAGAUCUUGUGCAUUUGCCUGUUAGAUGAUCAAUUCUAAGAUCAAAUCUUUGACAGUUAAACUCAAGGACAUUCCCAGAGCUCAGUUUGAUCAAGUAUGAUUUGUCAUAAGGGUAAUAUUGUUAGGACUACACACAUAUUUUUGAAAGGAUGACUGGUGUUUAGGUUUUACACACAUGGCCACUUAACAUGUUCAUAAACAGGACAAAGUCAUUUUAGUUUCUAACGCAGCUACUUAUUCUUGAGACAGGCUGCCAUUAUCUAGCCCAGGCUGGCCUGGAACUUGUUAUCCUCCGUUCUCAGCCUCUUAUGUGCUGGGAUCAGAGACAUGCACCAUCAUGCCCAGUCCAGUACAAUUUUUACUCUCAGGGAAUAAGAAAAGGUGUCAGUUUGUGUGAGGCUCAUCGGUCAGGGUCUCUCCAUCUCCAUUUGCUACCUGAAAACAGGGAGCUAUUCAUCUUGGUUCCUAAAUAAGUACAUUAAGCACAUCAGAAAACAGAUCAAUUAAAAAUGGCAGUGUUAGUGUGGGUUGCUAUGAAUGCCAUCGCAAGCAGGGUAGGGCAAUUCAAAGUUGUAAUUAUUCAAAUAUUGUUAGAUCAUGAAGCCCUAGUUCAUUAGUGAUAUGAUAUUACCGUUGCUAUGAUGACUAUGAAUUUGUCUUCUCACCUAGGAUACUUUUGAAAGUUAUUUGCCAGAGUAGGAUGUUGUAGAGUGGAGCCUUCCUGGCUUCUGAUGCCUUUAUAUUGUCUGUUGAGCAGGACUUUCACUCGAUAUACACUAUCAUUGAACUUGUUUCGUUUUUCUAGAUAAUGUUUAUUACAGGUCACUGUUUUACUUUUGUGUUUGUUUUAUACCAGCCAACAUGGUUGGUGGCUGUGUCUUUUGGGAAAGGCUGACACUGUACUGCUCAUAGAACCUCUUUACUUUUUCUUUUACUUGUUAAAUUAUGCCUUAUCUAGUUAAUAUAGAAGUGAGGUAAUACUUUAUGUCAUAGCCAAACUUAUAUUUAUUAUUUAAAAUUUUUUUUCUUACAAAAUGUUUUGGUUAUAUUCUUCCCCUUCCCCCGAAUCUUCUCAGAUACCCACCUGAUCUCAUGUUCUCUUUCUCAAAACAAAACCAAACCAAGAAAAUGAAGCAAAACACAAACCAAUAAGCCAUAACAAAAAAUACAUAAAAACAUGGAAUCAUUUUGUAUUGAUCAGGUACUCCAUUGCAUGAGGCCUGCCCUGAAGUGUGGUUGAUAUACCCAGUGACUGAUUUUUCCUCUACGAGCAGGUAUUAAUUACAGUUAGCUUCUUGGUUAGAGGUAGGACUUUGUGUUCACUUCCUUUUUUUCUUCUGGGACUUGUCUGGUUUUAACCUAUGCAGAUCUUGAGUGUGCUGUCAGGGCCUCUGUGCUCUUAUUUGCAUCAGUCCUGCUGUGCCUGGAAGAUGCUGUUUUGUUUUUUUUUUGGGGGGUGGGGAAUCCUUUGGCUCUUAAAAUCUUUCUACUACCUCUUUCACAUAGAUCCCUGAGUCUUGGAGGGGUGAGCUUGAUAAACACAUCCCAUCCCAAUUAGGGCUGGAUGAUUAGAACUCAUUUUCAAGGAGUAUGUAAAUGAAAGGGUGUUAUUAUUGUAAAUAGGAAAGAUAAGCAGGCAAAGUGGACCACAGUAAAGUGGACAGUUGCCAUUUUUUCUUUAUAUCAAAUAUUGUAGCAUUGUUAUGUUUCUUUUUAUCUUGCAAGUCUGGUAAUUAACAGUGUAUUUGACAUUGUGCUGAAAGAUAAUCCUGUUUAUUAAAUCUUCAGAAUUUGUAAUUUUGCUGAAUGAUCCCAUGAUCUUAAUUUUUUUUAAAGCUGUGCUGUGAUGUGUGUCACAUAUGUUGAUUAGGUUGGCAGUUUUGCCAAAAUAUUUUUUCCAUUUUUUUAUUUGAAUUAGAAACAAGUUUGUUUUACAUGCCACUCCCAGUUCUGUCUCCCUCCCCUCCGCCCUA